rnacentral:rRNA from 1 species
UACGGAGGGUGCAAGCGUUGUCCGGAUUUACUGGGUUUAAAGGGUGCGCAGGCGGAUAUGUAAGUCAGUGGUGAAAUCUCCGGGCUUAACCCGGAAAUUGCCGUUGAUACUAUAUAUCUUGAAUGCUGUGGAGGUAAGCAGAAUAUGUCAUGUAGCGGUGAAAUGCUUAGAUAUGACAUAGAAUACCUAUUGCGAAGGCAGCUUACUACGCAGAUAUUGACGCUCAUGCACGAAAGCGUGGGGAUCAAACAGG